UAAAAUAAAGAAAAAUAAUUUAUCUAAAUGUUAUUAAUAGGAGAAUGUAAUUGAAAAAGAAAAAAAAAUUAUAUUAUAUUAAAAAUAAAAAAUGAUAAUUUUUUAGAAUAAAAUAUUUUUAUAAAUAUGAAAAUUAUUAUAGGAUAGGGAAAGUAGGUAGAGUGUAAAGCAAUAAACAACUUGCUAUCAUUUAGUUUAUUAUACACGCAUAAAAAAG
rnacentral:lncRNA from 1 species